rnacentral:rRNA from 1 species
AACGAACGCUGGCGGCAUGCCUAACACAUGCAAGUCGAACGAGACCUUCGGGUCUAGUGGCGCACGGGUUCGUAACGCGUGGGAACCUGCCUUUAGGUUCGGAAUAACUCAGAGAAAUUUGAGCUAAUACCGGAUGAUGUCUUCGGACCAAAGAUUUAUCGCCUUUAGAUGGGCCCGCGUUGGAUUAGCUAGUUGGUGGGGUAAAGGCCUACCAAGGCGACGAUCCAUAGCUGGUCUGAGAGGAUGAUCAGCCACAAUGGGACUGAGACACGGCCCAGACUCGUACGGGAGGCAGCAGUGGGGAACAUUGGACAAUGGGCGAAAGCCUGAUCCAGCAAUGCCGCGUGAGUGAGGAAGGGCUUAGGGUUGUAAAGCUCUUUUACCCGAGAUGAGAAUGACAGUAUCGGGAGAAUAAGCUCCGGCUAACUCCGUG